UCUCGUCUUAUGUAAGACCAUAAUUCUCGUAUGUUAUUAGGACUGUUCAUUAGGGCUAAACAAAAGCGUUUAAGUAUAACGGCUGUACAUCGACGGAAAUUUAUGCUUUCGAGAUCGGAAACUCCAUGAUUUUCAGCAUCGAGAGUACACAUUUGAAGCAAUACAAAACGGCUAACAAACGACACAAACUCAUUUAUGAUGACGAGCACGGCAUGAAAGGUGCUAUUAAGCUGAUCCUGUUCUUAUUAUUGUGGUCACGAUUUGCUUCUGGAAGGCCGGCGAGAUGUUCCCUGAUGCGAAAUUUCUU